rnacentral:rRNA from 1 species
UAGGGAAUCUUCCGCAAUGGGCGAAAGCCUGACGGAGCAACGCCGCGUGAGUGAUGAAGGUCUUCGGAUCGUAAAACUCUGUUAUUAGGGAAGAACAAAUGUGUAAGUAACUAUGCACGUCUUGACGGUACCUAAUCAGAAAGCCACGGCUAACUACGUGCCAGCAGCCGCGGUAAUACGUAGGUGGCAAGCGUUAUCCGGAAUUAUUGGGCGUAAAGCGCGCGUAGGCGGUUUUUUAAGUCUGAUGUGAAAGCCCACGGCUCGACCGUGGAGGGUCAUUGGAAACUGGAAAACUUGAGUGCAGAAGAGGAAAGUGGAAUUCCAUGUGUAGCGGUGGAAUGCGCAGAGAUAUGGGGGAACACCAGUGGCGAAGGCGACUUUCUGGUCUGUAACUGACGCUGAUGUGCGAAAGCGUGGGGAUCAAACAGG